GGGCGAAUGGUUUAGUGGUAUAAUACUCCCUUAGCAUGUUCUCGGCUCCGAGUUCUUCAUUGGGAGUGGUCCAGGGUUCGAUUCCCUGUUCGUCCA
rnacentral:tRNA from 2 species